rnacentral:rRNA from 1 species
GAUUGAACGCUGGCGGCAGGCCUAACACAUGCAAGUCGAACGGUAACAGGAAGCAGCUUGCUGCUUCGCUGACGAGUGGCGGACGGGUGAGUAAUGUCUGGGAAACUGCCUGAUGGAGGGGGAUAACUACUGGAAACGGUAGCUAAUACCGCAUAACGUCGCAAGACCAAAGAGGGGGACCUUCGGGCCUCUUGCCAUCGGAUGUGCCCAGAUGGGAUUAGCUUGUAGGUGGGGUAACGGCUCACCUAGGCGACGAUCCCUAGCUGGUCUGAGAGGAUGACCAGCCACACUGGAACUGAGACACGGUCCAGACUCCUACGGGAGGCAGCAGUGGGGAAUAUUGCACAAUGGGCGCAAGCCUGAUGCAGCCAUGCCGCGUGUAUGAAGAAGGCCUUCGGGUUGUAAAGUACUUUCAGCGGGGAGGAAGGGAGUAAAGUUAAUACCUUUGCUCAUUGACGUUACCCGCAGAAGAAGCACCGGCUAACUCCGUGCCAGCAGCCGCGGUAAUACGGGAGGGUGCAAGCGUUAAUCGGAAUUACUGGGCGUAAAGCGCACGCAGGCGGUUUGUUAAGUCAGAUGUGAAAUCCCCGGGCUCAACCUGGGAACUGCAUCUGAUACUGGCAAGCUUGAGUCUCGUAGAGGGGGGUAGAAUUCCAGGUGUAGCGGUGAAAUGCGUAGAGAUCUGGAGGAAUACCGGUGGCGAAGGCGGCCCCUUGGACGAAGACUGACGCUCAGGUGCGAAAGCGUGGGGAGCAAACAGGAUUAGAUACCCUGGUAGUCCACGCCGUAAACGAAGUCGACUUGGAGGUUGUGCCCUUGAGGCGUGGCUUCCGGAGCUAACGCGUUAAGUCGACCGCCUGGGGAGUACGGCCGCAAGGUUAAAACUCAAAUGAAUUGACGGGGGCCCGCACAAGCGGUGGAGCAUGUGGUUUAAUUCGAUGCAACGCGAAGAACCUUACCUGGUCUUGACAUCCACGGAAGUUUUCAGAGAUGAGAAUGUGCCUUCGGGAACUGUGAGACAGGUGCUGCAUGGCUGUCGUCAGCUCGUGUUGUGAAAUGUUGGGUUAAGUCCCGCAACGAGCGCAACCCUUAUCCUUUGUUGCCAGCGGUCCGGCCGGGAACUCAAAGGAGGCUGCCAGUGAUAAACUG